GACGAACGCUGGCGGCGUGCUUAACACAUGCAAGUCGAACGGAAAGGCCCUGCUUUUGUGUGGUGCUCGCGUGGCGAACGGGUGAAUAACACGUGAGUAACCUUCCCUGGGCUUUGGGAUAACUUCAGGAAACUGGGGCUACUACCUGAUAGGAGCGCCUGCUGCAUGGGGGGGUUUGGAACUCUUCGGAUGAUGGGGAUGGACUCGGGGCUUAUCAGCUUGUUGGUGGGGUAGUGGCUUAGGAAGGCAUUGAAUGGUGGGCGGCCUUAGAGGGUGGCCGGGCACCUGGGUACUGAGAGACGCACCAGACUGCUACUGGAGGCAGCAGUGGGGAAUAUUGCCCAGUGGGCCGGAGCGUGAUGCAGCAACGUCGCGUGCGUGAUGACGGUUUUCUGGUUGUAAACCGCUUUCGCCUGUUACGAAGCGUGAGUGACGUUAAUGAGUAAAGAAGCACCGGCUAACUACGUG
rnacentral:rRNA from 1 species